UGAAGGAUGAUCCACGUUGAACACAAAUUCGACACUGAGUCGGAGCAAUAUCCAUGACGCACCGUGUCCUGACCGUGGAAGCGGCCCUCUGUGUUGCCUCUGCCCCCUCCCUCUCUCGCGGAUGGGGCGGACGCGCGCAGGGGG
rnacentral:snoRNA from 1 species